rnacentral:lncRNA from 1 species
UUACAAAGCCCCAGGCAGCUCCAGGCAUUCGCGGUACUGGCAGCCAGCGGCCCAAAAGGAGAGACGAAAUUUUAGCAUCCAUAUCAACACCCUGGAAAGCCUGAUCGGCUACGCAUGGGCCAUGUGUCUUCCUCUGGACUGAUCACUGUGGCCCAGAAAGUGGGGUAUUCUGAUGGCACACCCUGGGUCACAAGUCCACCAGAUGCAGUAAGGCUUCUGGUUUCCUGUCCUGCUGGAGUGAUGAUGAUGGUGAUGCUGAUGACAAUUACAACAGUAAAGUGAUGAAUCUUUAUGGAGUAAAUCAGUGUUUAUGCAUGACGUCUCCUCUGAUCCCAACAACACGAUACGAGAUAGACAUCAAAUCCCCAUUUUCCAUGAAGACAAACAAUCUCAAGGUGGUGACUUCAGGUCACACAGCCAGGAACAUCCCUCUCGGGAUUUUGGCUCAAGGGAAAAAGAGAAACAGCCACGCAGAACAGAGGAGGGCCCCAAACCCGAGAGGACAGGCUACCGGAGGAGGUCUUCAACAGUGCUGCACUGCAAGAGCCAGAACAGGCUUCCUGAAGCCGGGCCCACACUGCGUCCUCGUGGUUUUAUAGCUGAGAAAACUGAACAGGGAGCAGCUAGCAGUUUGGGCCAGUGCCACAGCAAGGCAGCAAGAAAGCUGGAAUCCAACGGAAACGUCUCACACUCGACGGUGGACUUUCUGUACCGGGAAACGUGAAAUAAGAAGGAAAAAUUAUAAAUUAGGGUUGUGGAAGUAUUUUAAUCAACUUUAUAUAUUUACCAAUUAAAAGCUAAUAUUUUAUAAGUAAUACCAUUUAAGAGUAGUACUAAUAAAGAAUAAUAUGGUUUUUGUUUUAGUCAUUUGCUUCUUGAUCUCUCAUAAUUAAAACUUGCCAUAAAAACUCAAAUUUUCAUCUUUUUAGGGCAAGAGUGGAGAAAAUGAAAUGAGCUGAAGAGUGCGUAUGAAAUUUAUUUUAUUCAAGUGAAGAUUUAUGCUGGCAGAUUUCAUUCCGGCUGACAUUGACCUUUUCGGAUGAGAUGAGAGUUUCUGCGGGUCAGGACUCUGGGAGCAGCCUCACUAUGCUGUUCUGGCUCAGGAUCUCCAAUGAAGCUGUGGUCAAGAUGUCGGCUGGGCUUAGUCAUCUGAAGGCUCGACUGGGGUGGAGGGUCUGCUCCCAAGAUGGCACACUCCAUGCCUGUUAGCUGGAGGCCUCAUCUCCUCCCAGUGGAUGGAUCAGCUGAAACCUUCGAGAAACAGACAGCACCGGGACCGGAGUGGGAGGAGAGGGGAGCAGGCUGUGUAGCCGGCACGGAGCCAGUGGGUAAACUUCCUCCUUUCUGCCUCAAGCCUACAAGGCAGACUUUGACCCUUCUCGAGACUUCAUAAAGGAACAGCUGUCCACCAUUUCCGCCUUACCUCCUGUCAAGACACGCCCAGUGUGGACCAGGUCCCCCGCCCCGCAGACGGAGAGGGGAGAGAGAUUCACUUCACGCCCAUUUCAAAGUGGACGCAUUCGCCUUAAACGACCUUAAGUUUAAAGGCAGUUUCUCACGUGGAACUGAGAGUAGCUGUUUAAAGAAGAGAUGGCAAUUAUGUUAUCAAAUUAUAGUGUGGAAAAUAAAACACAGGAAGCAUUUCAUGCUUAGACAGUGGAGUGUAGAAGAGUCAGGAGCCAGGUUCAAAUUCUGGCUCCACAUCCAAACAGAUCUGUGACUUAGAGCAAAGUACGUAAGCUCAAGGCCUCACCUGUGGAACAUGGAAGAUGAGGCCUACAUCGUUAGAAUAUUGUUUUCUGAGGAAGAUUGGCCCUGAGCUAACAUCUGUGCCAAUCUUCCUGACUUUUGUAUGUGGUUUGCCACAACAGCAUGGCUGAGGAGUGGUGUAGGUCCAUGCCCAGGAACCAAAGCCACGAACCCGGGCCACUGAAGCAGAAUGCGCUGAACUUAACCACUAUGCCACAGGGCUGGCCCCUAAAGACGCUUCUCUAGGAUUUUUGUUGUAAGGCCAAGUUAUCAGAGACACCACGGCUUUCCUCGGUGGAGCGCCAGCACGGGGGAAGGAAGACACUCAGCCCUUAGGAGAGAAGUUCAAGAGGUGCAGCUUACCCUCCAGAGCAACGUGGAUUCAUGGCGUCCAAAUGUCCUGCAUGGAUUCACCUGUUUCACAGAACCUGACACU